GCACUCCGGAGAAUCCCAACCGUAGAUUGGGUGCCGAAGGGGCAAGCGCGUACGCGUCAAUCUCUCAGGCAAAAGGACGGAGCU
rnacentral:ncRNA from 1 species